UGGAAACACAAGAUACAUCCAUUACACAAAUUAAAAUCUUACCAUCAAAGCAUUAGGAAAGGGGACUAUCACAUGGAAAUGAUUUCCCAGCAAACUAGUCAGUUAACUGGUAUUUAACUACAAGAUGUCAAGAUAUUCAUUUCUACAGCAUUGAUCUUAAGGAAAUUAAAGAAUGAAAAGAAAAACAAAACAAGCAACACUAAUGAAGAUUGAUAUUAAAGGAAAAUUCAAAACUGAACUAAGCACUUACAAAGCAAGGCAAAAAGGAAAUAUGGAAGAAACGGUAAUUAGCAUCAAAGGUCCCAACAUUUCUUCACACAACCACAAGGUUUGCUACAAUGGCAACAGAUUUUUCUUCAAGCUUUGUCCUUACAGAAACUUCAAGUAUUUAAAAAGUACCUAUUUGGCAGAUAGGCGGGAUAUACAAAAUAAGAACGAAACGCCAAACAGGCUUCCAAAGCCAGAAGAUGAUGAGUCCUUCAACCGCGAAGACAUCCGCACUUCAAAAGCAUCAUUCAUAGAGCAAAUUCAAUCAUUGUUUCCCUUCAGCCCACCAAUAUUGCGUUACUGCUCCCCAUCGUCUAUGUUUCCAGCAAGCAUAUCUCUACUCUUUUUGUCGUGGACAAGAUCCAAGAAAAAAUCUGUCAAAACAGACUCAUAAUUUGGCAUCUUGGCAUAACCAGGAAAAUAGUUUAUAUCAAUGACAAGAUACCUAUUGCCAUCUUUAGCAUCCCUCAUCACAUCAAAGUUGAACAAAUUAAGCCUGGUUUCCUGCCUCAUCGCCCUGGCUAUCUCCUCCAAAAAUCCCAAUGGCGGCAUUUCCACUUUCUCGAGAUCGACUGCAUCACCAAAGCACUCAUUCUUCACCGCCACAGUCAAAUUCGAUAUUUGAGAAAAUGAUAAAGAACCCUUCAAUGUAGCUAAUUUCUCCUGCGAUAUAUCAGGAAGCGACUUCCUCUUUACACAUUGCACGUAGUCACCAGCAACAUAAACUUUGAAAAUCACCCCACCAUGAUUUACAAAGUCCUGCAAGAUAAUAGGCGUAUCUAGCCUCUUCAACCCUUCACUGUCAAAAAUUUGAUACAUUUUGUGCGAUUUUGCACUCCCAUCAGCCACCAAAGGUUUCGCUAGUAAAGGAAACCCUAGCUCCCCAACUACAAUAUUUCCCUUCAAAUUCCCCGAGUCCAAAACGACUACCUGUUUAGGUACCUCCAAGACUUGGCUUCUCUUGGAAAUCUUUAACCGACCGACUACUUCGAGCAUAGAAAUCCGGUUGUGCAGCCUCUCGAUGGAAACAGGAGAAUCAACAAUGGGAACAUUAGGGUUUUCCAAAGAGAAACGCUCCAGUUGCAGCUUCCAAUCUGAACCAUACAGCUUGUGGAUGACACAGUCGAAUGGCCCUUGUUCAAUUAGGGAUUUCGAAGGAUCGAUAGCGACCAGAUCGAUGCUAUGGCGACUCGCGAGGCUAAUGAGGGAUGGCUGGAUAAAGCUCUGCACUUUCUUGGGCGCCAGUGCGUAGCCUAUGCGGUGCUGUUUCGCCUGGGUUGACAUGGCUGCUGCUUGGAAGGCAAGAAACCGGAGAGAAACCGUUCCUCUGAGAGAAAAGAGAAAGAAAAACUGAAAGAGAACAAUUUGAGACUCUCAGAGAAGGAAUAGAAAAUUUAUAGAACAGUGAGAGAGUGAAGAGAGGUUUUACAGUUACGAAUACAAUAGAAAGAGACACACAGGAGGUUGGAUUUUUCGUUUCUGUAGGUGAAGAGUGAGUGAGCGCGUGGGAAUUCUCAGGAACGAUGAUAUGGGGAUUCGGGACGCAAGAGGCUUUUGUGGGUUUAAAAAUUUGAACGGCGGCGAUUCCAGGGAUAAAGGUGAGAGAGAUUAGAAGGAAACUCGCGUUGAUUCUGU
rnacentral:misc_RNA from 1 species